rnacentral:rRNA from 1 species
UACGUAGGGGGCAAGCGUUGUCCGGAAUCAUUGGGCGUAAAGAGCGUGUAGGCGGCCUGGUAAGUCCGCUGUGAAAGUCCAGGGCUCAACCCUGGAAUGCCGGUGGAAACUGUCAGGCUCGAGUCCGGAAGAGGCGAGUGGAAUCCUGGUGUAGCGGUGAAAUGCGCAGAUAUCAGGAGGAACACCAAUGGCGAAGGCAGAUCUCUGGGCCGUAACUGACGCUGAGGAGCGAAAGCAUGGGGAGCGAACAGG